rnacentral:rRNA from 1 species
CUACGGGGCGCAGCAGUGAGGAAUAUUGCACAAUGGGGGGAACCCUGAUGCAGCAACGCCGCGUGGAGGAUGACGCAUUUCGGUGUGUAAACUCCUUUUAUAUGUCAAGAAAAUGACGGUAGCAUAUGAAUAAGCACCGGCUAACUCCGUGCCAGCAGCCGCGGUAAUACGGAGGGUGCAAGCGUUACUCGGAAUCACUGGGCGUAAAGGACGCGUAGGCGGGUUGGAAAGUCAGGUGUGAAAUCCUACAGCUUAACUGUAGAACUGCACUUGAAACUUCUAAUCUAGAGUAUGGGAGGAGGAGAUGGAAUGAGUGGUGUAGGGGUAAAAUCCGUAGAUAUCACUAGGAAUACCUAAAGCGAAGGCGAUCUCCUGGAACAUUACUGACGCUAAGGCGUGAAAGCGUGGGGAGCAAACAGGAUUAGAUACCCGGGUAGUC